GAAAAAAGAAAGAAAAAGAAAACAAGCAUCUUGAACGGAAAGCACAUGUCAGGCUGGGCGUGUGCUCUUCAGUGUCCAAAUGGCCAUUGCCUCCGACCAUCAUCUGGGCUGAAGAAUGUGGCAGGUGGAGGGGAGCAGCUCACCCUGUCGGCCUGACUUCUUCAUCCUGUGGUUUCCAAAGAAGCCUCUGCAUCUGCUCAUCCCCUACCCUUGCAGGCUGACCUUUAACCUUGCCAGGCUGGCCCCCACUCUUGCCAGGCUGACACCUACCCUUGCCAGGCUGACCUUUAACCUUGCCAGGCUGCCCCUUACCCUUGCCAGGCUGACCUUUAACCUUGCCAGGCUGCCCCCUACCCUUGCAAGGCUGCCCCCUACCCUUGCCAGGCUGCCCCUACCCUUGCCAGACUGACCUUUAACCUUGCCAGGCUGCCCCUACCCUUGCUAGGCUGCCCCCUACCCUUGCCAGGCUGCCCCUACCCUUGCCAGGCUGACCCCCACCCACUCUUGCCAGGCUGACCUUUAACCUUGUCAGGCUGAACCCUACCCUUGCAAGGCUGACCCCUACCCUUGCCAGGCUGACCCCCACCCUUGCCAGGCUGACCC
rnacentral:lncRNA from 1 species